GGCGCUAUAGCCAAGUGGUUACGGCGACAGAUUAGAAUUUCUUCGUGGUAAGUAUCAUCUGUUCCUCUUUGAGGGCGCAGGUUCGAAUCCUGCUGGCGUCG